UGUCUCUCCUCAAAUUCCGUCCCCUGCCUCUGGCCCGCCAGACGUACCUUCUCUCACCACCAUAGAGGUUGACCUGUCAGCAGCCCUGGAGUCCACCCCCAAUAAGCCCGAAGGGGCAGGCCGGGUGGGAGACCCCAGGCACACCCCCGCCAACUUUCAUGGAGGUGAUAACCUGAAGCCUGAACACGGGCACGGCCACGGGCACGGCCACGGGCACGGGCACGACCACGGUCACGGGCACGGGCACGACCACGGGCACGGCCACGGCCACGGCCACGGCUACGGAAGCGCCUCAGAUUCAGGCAGCAGCGACCCAGAAAAU